CAAGCGGUGGAGCAUGUGGUUUAAUUCGAUGCUAAGCGAAGAACCUUACCAGGGCUUGACAUGUAAGCAUAAGCUUGCGUGAAAGCGUGGAGUGGAUUUAAGUUUACUUAUUUCGGUUUACACAGGUGCUGCAUGGCUGUCGUCAGCUCGUGCCGUGAGGUGUCCGGUUAAGUCCGGUAACGAGCGCAACCCCUAUUAUCAGUUGCCAUCACUUCGGGUGGGCACUCUGGUGAAACUGCUGGUUUAAAACUAGAGGAAGGAGGGGACGACGUCAAGUCAUCAUGGCCCUUAUGUCCUGGGCUACACACAUGCUACAAUGGCGUAUACAACGGGUUGCGAACUCGCGAGAGGAAGCUAAUCCCAUCAAAGUACGUCUCAGUUCGGAUUGCAGGCUGCAACUCGCCUGCAUGAAGUUGGAAUCGCUAGUAAUCGCGAAUCAGCUAUGUCGCGGUGAAUACGUUCCCGGGUCUUGCACACACCGCCCGUCACACCACGAAAGUCGGUCUUGCCCGAAGCAGCUGUGCUAACCCUUAGGGGGAGCAGGUUUCUAAGGUGAGGUUGGUGAUUGGGGUGAAGUCGUAACAAGGUAGCCGUACCGGAAGGUGCGGCUG
rnacentral:rRNA from 1 species